CUGGCAUAUGAUAGCCCAGUCCUAAAUGUCACCUGUCAUCACCAACAGCAGACAUUAGAGAAAGGAGCCUUGGAGGCAAUAAAAGGCCUCAGUGGGGGAGGCUUACUGGAGUCUCUGCCUCGAGGAUGGGUUCAUCAUCUGGGAAGCGACUAUGCGUGGUUCCUAUGACACCAGAAGGCUCAAGCUUCGGGUAGCAGAGAUCCAGAUUAAGACUAGCGUCUGCCAGAGCUGCCCACUUAACUCCCAGAGUCUGACUGAUAGGUCCAAGCUGCAGCUGCCAGGCCAGCCGGGGUCUGCUUAGAACUUCAAAUGAAUGUUUCCAGAUCCGCCCACUUUCUCCACAGAUAAGUCUCCCCUGCUCCCGAUAAAGGCUUUUGAAGCACAACUUG